AUUGAACGCUGGCGGCAGGCCUAACACAUGCAAGUCGAACGAGUGGCGGACGGGUGAGUAAUGUCUGGGAAACUGCCUGAUGGAGGGGGAUAACUACUGGAAACGGUAGCUAAUACCGCAUACCAUCGGAUGUGCCCAGAUGGGAUUAGCUAGUAGGUGGGGUAAAGGCUCACCUCGGCGACGAUCCCUAGCUGGUCUGAGAGGAUGACCGGCCACACUGGAACGGGGAAACGGUCCAGACUCCUACGGGAGGCAGCAGUGGGGAAUAUUGCACAAUGGGCGCAAGCCUGAUGCAGCCAUGCCGCGUGGAUGAAGAAGGCCUUCGGGUUUUAAAGUACUUUCAGCGGGGAGGCGUUACCCGCAGAAGAAGCACCGGCUAACUCCGUGCCAGCAGCCGCGGUAAUUC
rnacentral:rRNA from 1 species